AACGAACGCUGGCGGCGCGUCUUAAACAUGCAAGUCGAACGAUCUGUAGCAAUACAGGGAGUGGCGGACGGGUGAGGAACACGUAGGAAUCUACCUUGAAGAGCGGGACAACUUUGGGAAACCGGGGCUAAUACCGCAUAGUACAGAGAUGUUAAAGGGCUAGCAAUAGUCGCUUCGAGAUGAGCCUGCGGUCUAUCAGCUUGUUGGUGAGGUAAUGGCUCACCAAGGCUACGACGGAUAGCCGGUCUGAGAGGAUGAUCGGCCACACUGGCACUGAGACACGGGCCAGACUCCGUACGGGAGGCAGCAGUUAAGAUC
rnacentral:rRNA from 1 species